rnacentral:misc_RNA from 1 species
AACGCAUCUUGCGCUCCUUGGUAUUCCGAGGAGCAUGUCUGCUUGAGUGUCAUGAAAUUCUCGACCUUCCCGGAGGGGUUUGCUCUCUCCCGGGUAACAGGUUCGGACCGUGGCCGCAUUGCCCGCCGCGCCUUUUGCGCGCGGGCUCGGCUGAAUGAGAUGAAGGCUGACUUAAGAUUUCGGAUCGGCUGGCUCGAUAUUGUACAUCUCACUUUGUCGGGUCGCCGUGUCUGGGUCUGCUGAUUUCAGUCUCCCCCUGCGUAAAGGGGAUAUCACUGUUUACAAUAUUGAUCUCGACCUCAAGUCAGGCAGGACUACCCGCUGAACUUAA